GUUAACUACUAAUAUAUACCACAAGGGUUAACUAAUAAUAUAUACCACAAGGGUUAACUACUAAUAUAUACCACAAGGGUUAACUACUGAUAUAUACCACAGGGAUUAACAAGCUACAGACACCACAAGGGUUAACCACUAAUAUAUACCACAGGGGUAACGUUAACAAGUUAUAGACACCACAGGGGUUAACUACUAAUAUAUACCACAGGGAUUAACAAGCUACAGACACCACAAGGGUUAACCACUAAUAUAUACCACAGGGGUUAACAAGUUAUAGACACCACAGGGGUUAACUACUAAUAUAUACCACAAGGGUUAACUACUAAUAUAUACCACAAGGGUUAACUACUGAUAUAUACCACAAGGGUUAACCACUAAUAUAUACCACAAGGGUUAACUACUGAUAUAUACCACAAGGGUUAACCACUAAUAUAUACCACAAGGGUUAACAAGUUAUAGACACCACAGGGGUAAACUACUAAUAUAUACCACAGGGGUUAACAAGUUAUAGACACCACAGGGGUUAACUAAUAAUAUAUACCACAGAGGUUAACAAGUUACAGACACCACAGGGGUUAACUACUAAUAUAUACCACAGGGGUUAACAAGUUACAGACACCACAGGGGUUAACUACUAAUAUAUACCACAGAGGUUAACAAGUUACAGACACCACAGAGGUUAACUACUAAUAUAUACCACAGGGGUUAACUAAUAAUAUAUACCACAGGGGUUAACUAAUAAUAUAUACCACAGAGGUUAACUACUGAUAUAUACCACAAGGGUUAACUACUAAUAUAUACCACAGGGGUUAACUACUAAUAUAUACCACAGGGGUUAACAAGUUACAGACACCACAGGGGUAACUACUGAUAUAUACCACAGGGGUUAACUACUAAUAUAUACCACAGAGGUUAACAAGUUACAGACACCACAGGGGUUAACUACUAAUAUAUACCACAGGGUUAACAAGUUAUAGACACCACAGGGGUUAACUAAUAAUAUAUACCACAGGGGCUAAAAAGUUAUAGACACCACAAGGGUUAAUUAGUUAUAGAUACCAGAAGGGUUAACAAGUUAUAGACACCACAGGGGUUAACAAAUAAUAUAUACCACAGGGGUUAACAAGUUACAGACACCACAGGGGUUAACUACUAAUAUAAACCACUGGGGUUAACAAGCUACAGACACCACAGGGGUUAACUACUAAUAUAUACCACAGGGGUUAACAAGUUACAGACACCACAGGGGUUAACAAGUUAUAGACACCACAGGGGUUAACAAGUUACAGACAUCACAGGGGUUAACUACUACUAUAUACCACAGGGGUUAACAAGCUACAGACACCACAGGGGUUAACUACUAAUAUAUACCACAGGGGUUAACAAGUUACAGACACCACAGGGGUUAACUACUAAUAUAUACCACAGGGGUUAACAAGUUACAGACACCACAGGGGUUAACUACUAAUAUAUACCACAGAGGUUAACAAGUUACAGACACCACAGAGGUUAACUACUAAUAUAUACCACAGGGGUUAACUAAUAAUAUAUACCACAGGGGUUAACUAAUAAUAUAUACCACAGAGGUUAACUACUGAUAUAUACCACAAGGGUUAACUACUAAUAUAUACCACAGGGGUUAACUACUAAUAUAUACCACAGGGGUUAACAAGUUACAGACACCACAGGGGUAACUACUGAUAUAUACCACAGGGGUUAACUACUAAUAUAUACCACAGGGGUUAACUAAUAAUAUAUACCACAGAGGUUAACAAGUUACAGACACCACAGGGGUUAACUACUAAUAUAUACCACAGGGGUUAACAAGUUAUAGACACCACAGAGGUUAACUAAUAAUAUAUACCACAGAGGUUAACAAGUUACAGACACCACAGGGGUUAACUACUAAUAUAUACCACAGGGGUUAACAAGUUACAGACACCACAGGGGUUAACUACUAAUAUAUACCACAGAGGUUAACAAGUUACAGACACCACAGAGGUUAACUACUAAUAUAUACCACAGGGGUUAACUAAUAAUAUAUACCACAGGGGUUAACUAAUAAUAUAUACCACAGAGGUUAACUACUGAUAUAUACCACAAGGGUUAACUACUAAUAUAUACCACAGGGGUUAACUACUAAUAUAUACCACAGGGGUUAACAAGUUACAGACACCACAGGGGUAACUACUGAUAUAUACCACAGGGGUUAACUACUAAUAUAUACCACAGGGGUUAACUAAUAAUAUAUACCACAGAGGUUAACAAGUUACAGACACCACAGGGGUUAACUACUAAUAUAUACCACAGAGGUUAACAAGUUACAGACACCACAGGGGUUAACUACUAAUAUAUACCACAGGGUUAACAAGUUAUAGACACCACAGGGGUUAACUAAUAAUAUAUACCACAGGGGCUAAAAAGUUAUAGACACCACAAGGGUUAAUUAGUUAUAGAUACCAGAAGGGUUAACAAGUUAUAGACACCACAGGGGUUAACAAAUAAUAUAUACCACAGGGGUUAACAAGUUACAGACACCACAGGGGUUAACUACUAAUAUAAACCACUGGGGUUAACAAGCUACAGACACCACAGGGGUUAACUACUAAUAUAUACCACAGGGGUUAACAAGUUACAGACACCACAGGGGUUAACAAGUUAUAGACACCACAGGGGUUAACAAGUUACAGACAUCACAGGGGUUAACUACUACUAUAUACCACAGGGGUUAACAAGCUACAGACACCACAGGGGUUAACUACUAAUAUAUACCACAGGGGUUAACAAGUUACAGACACCACAGGGGUUAACUACUAAUAUAUACCACAGGGGUUAACAAGUUACAGACACCACAGGGGUUAACUACUAAUAUAUACCACAGAGGUUAACAAGUUACAGACACCACAGAGGUUAACUACUAAUAUAUACCACAGGGGUUAACUAAUAAUAUAUACCACAGGGGUUAACUAAUAAUAUAUACCACAGAGGUUAACUACUGAUAUAUACCACAAGGGUUAACUACUAAUAUAUACCACAGGGGUUAACUACUAAUAUAUACCACAGGGGUUAACAAGUUACAGACACCACAGGGGUAACUACUGAUAUAUACCACAGGGGUUAACUACUAAUAUAUACCACAGGGGUUAACUAAUAAUAUAUACCACAGAGGUUAACAAGUUACAGACACCACAGGGGUUAACUACUAAUAUAUACCACAGAGGUUAACAAGUUACAGACACCACAGGGGUUAACUACUAAUAUAUACCACAGGGUUAACAAGUUAUAGACACCACAGGGGUUAACUAAUAAUAUAUACCACAGGGGCUAAAAAGUUAUAGACACCACAAGGGUUAAUUAGUUAUAGAUACCAGAAGGGUUAACAAGUUAUAGACACCACAGGGGUUAACAAAUAAUAUAUACCACAGGGGUUAACCAGUUAUAGACACACUAAAUGUUACCUCAUUAUAAGAAACAGAAGAAGAAAUACACAGUGAGGGUUAACUUGUUAGAGACUCUGUGGGAGUUAGCAAGUUAGAGACUCUGCAGGAGUUAACUAGAUAGAGACACCACAGGAGUUAACUAAUUAGAGACACGAGGGGAGUUAACCAGGUAGAGACUCCGCGGGAGUUAACUAGUUAGAGACACCAUGGAAGUUAACUAGGUAGAGACACCAUGGAAGUUAACUACAUUGUAGGUAGGGACACCCUAAAGUUAACUAGUUAGAGACACCACGAGAGUUAACUAGUUAGAGACUCCACGUGAAUUAACUAGUUAGAGACUCCACGUGAAUUAACUAGGUAGAGAUACCAGGGGAGUUAACUAGGUAGGGACACCCUAGAGUUAACUAGUUAGAGACACCACGAGAGUUAACUAGUUAGAGACUCCACGUGAAUUAACUAGUUAGAGACUCCACGUGAAUUUACUAGUUAGAGACUCCACGUGAAUUAACUAGGUAGAGAUACCAGGGAGUUAACUAGUUAGAGACACCAGGGGAGUUAACCAGUAAGAGACACCACGGGAGUUAACUAGUUAGAGACUCCACGUGAAUUAACUAGUUAGAGACUCCACGGGAGUUAACUAGUUAGAGACUCCACGGGAGUUAACUAGUUAGAGACUCCACGGGAGUUAACUAGGUAGAGACUCCACGUGAAUUAACUAGGUAGAGAUACCAGGGAGUUAACUAGUUAGAGACUCCACGGGAGUUAACUAGUUAGAGACUCCACGGGAGUUAAAUAGUUAGAGACACCAGGGGAGUUAACUAGUUAGAGACUCCACGGGAGUUAACUAGUUAGAGACUCCACGGGAGUUAACUAGUUAGAGACUCCACGUGAAUUAACUAGGUAGAGAUACCAGGGAGUUAACUAGGUAGAGACACCAGGGGAGUUAACUAGUUAGAGACUCCACGGGAGUUAACUAGUUAGAGACUCCACGGGAGUUCACUAGUUAGAGACUCCACGGGAGUUAACUAGUUAGAGACACCACGGGAGUUAACUAGUUAGAGACUCCACGGGAGUUAACAAGUUAGAGACACCACGGGAGUUAACUAGUUAGAGACACCACACGGGAGUUAACUAGUUAGAGACUCCACGGGAGUUAACUAGUUAGAGACACCAGGGGAGUUAACUAGUUAGAGACUCCACGAGAGUUAACUAGUUAAGAGACUGCUCGGGAGUUUACUUGGUAGAGACACCAGGGGAGUUAACUAGUUAGAGACUCCGCGGGAGUUAACUAGUUAGAGACACCAUGGAAGUUAACUAGGUAGAGGCACCAUGGAUUUAACUAGUUAGAGACACCCGUUAAUUAACUAGUUAGAGACAUCACGGGAGUGAACUUGUUAGAGACACCACGGGAGUUUACUACAUUGUAGGUAGGGACACCCUAGAGUUAACUAGUUAGAGACACCACGAGAGUUAACUAGUUAGAGACUCCACGUGAAUUAACUAGGUAGAGACACCAUGGAAGUUAACUAUAUUGUAGGUAGGGACACCCUAGAGUUAACUAGUUAGAGACACCAUGGAAGUUAACUAUAUUGUAGGUAGGGACACCCUAGAGUUAACUAGUUAGAGACACCAUGGAAGUUAACUAUAUUGUAGGUAGGGACACCCUAGAGUUAACUAGUUAGAGACACCACGAGAGUUAACUAGUUAGAGACUCCACGUGAAUUAACUAGGUAGAGAUACCAGGGGAGUUAACUAGGUAGAGACACCACGGGAGUUAACUAGUUAGAGACUCCACGGGAGUUAACUAGUUAGAGACUCCACGGGAGUUAACUAGUUAGAGACACCAGGGGAGUUAACUAGUUAGAGACACCGCGGGAGUUAACUAGUUAGAGACACCACACGGGAGUUAACUAGUUAGAGACACCACGGGAGUUAACUAGGUAGAGACACCACGGGAGUUAUCUAGUUAGAGACACCACACGGGAGUUAACUAGUUAGAGACACCGCGGGAGUUAGGUAAUUGGAAGAUACCGCGUGAUUUCAACUUUAAAAUUUAUUUUUGUGGACCCAUGGAAAAUAGUAAUGUAAUAAAAAUGAUCUCAAACAAGAAAAAAAUGUGUUGUUUGUACGAAAAUGACAUAAAGAUAACUACGUGUAUGUUUAUCUGCUAUAUACGUGAUAAAGAAACGAUUUUAUUUGAUAGAAAUACGAGUGUAAGGAGUUUUCAACUAUUCUUCUAAAUGACAAAAACACGGUCAACCUAAUACAUUUUUUGUACGUUGAAAUGCUACGUGUUAAAUAUUUAAACUAAUGCAGGAUCACCAAGAAAUCCCGUGUCAUAUUGGAAUCGUAAGGUUAUUCAUUAAAAACCUUAAACUCUUCUGAAACACAGUACGCACCAGGUUAUUGUAUCAAGUCUGUUGUAAACGGCAAUGGUCCUAGAUCUGUAGUAACAUCAUGUGUAAGGCAUAUCUGUUCCGGUGAAGGACUAUCAAGUUUGUGAUCGGAAUGGAGGGUCUCCCGAAAGGUUACCAGAUAUUUGGGAAACUACUCCCGACAAGGAAUCUUCAGGUGUACACAUAUGAUCUAAAAUGAGUUUUCAUUUCAUGUUAAAAGUUUUGUUUUUGCAAGCCUGGUUGUUAGAGUAGUUUCAUCAAAUCUUAUUUCGUAAUCUCAUAUAAAAAUGAAAACAAAGUUGGUGUUUCCAUAAAUGUUAAUUUCCCAUAGGGGUCGGCCUAAAGAACGUUUUAAACUUAAGCCCACUCGCCGAUACAUUGGUUUGUGCUGUCAAAGUUAGUUCCCUUGACUAUACAUUUUACCCAAAUUAAUCCAUAAUACACUUGGCUAAUUACCUAAUUACUUACUGAAUUGCUAAACUCAGAACAUAUAUUGUAACAAAACAGAUAUAAAAUAAUUGCUUAGUUGUACAUACAGUACAUGUAUACAACAUGAAGGAUUCAGAAACAAGUACUCCGUACUUAUGUAAAUCCGUCUCCUUGUGUUUAUAGAUAGCUAAUGAAACAGUGCUGACAAUUUAAUAUACAGAAUAAUUAGAUAAAAAAAAAAUAGAAAAGUUUUUACCAUAAACUGUACACCAAAUAUAAAUUGUAGAGAAUUACAUACAAAAUUGAACAGGACGCACUAGCGGAUCCAGGGGGGUCCUGGGGGUCAGGAACCACACCCUUUUUCGUCGGAGGAAAUGUUUUAUAGCCUUAUAUUUCAUUUUCUACUCAAGUUGGACUCAAUGAAACUACCAAACUUAAUCUGUUUCAUUUGCUCAUGAAUUUGAUCAGAUUAACACUGAUCAGUGCGU